AGUGAACGCUGGCGGCAGGCCUAACACAUGCAAGUCGAACGGCAGCACAGUAGAGCUUGCUCUAUGGGUGGCGAGUGGCGGACGGGUGAGGAAUGCGUCGGAAUCUGCCUUUUUGUGGGGAUAACGUAGGGAAACUUACGCUAAUACCGCAUACGACCUACGGGUGAAAGUGGGGGACCUUCGGGCCUCACGCAGAAAGAUGAGCCGACGCCGGAUUAGCUAGUUGGCGGGGUAAAGCCCACCAAGGCGACGAUCCGUAGCUGGUCUGAGAGGAUGAUCAGCCACACUGGGACUGAGACACGGCCCAGACUCCUACGGGAGGCUG
rnacentral:rRNA from 1 species